rnacentral:lncRNA from 1 species
UAUAGAACUUCUUGUUUGAAAUUGAUUGUGCAUAUUCAUCUCAAAUCAACUUAAGAACAACACCUAUUAACAAGAUAAGAUGGAUAUUUCAUCAUCCUUUUUUAGCCCAAAAACAACCAACCAGCAUCCCUCAUUAACCCAAGCGUCUAAUUUAAAAUUAACUAGAUGUCAGCCUCUAAAGAACUCGAGCUCAAUAGGAUAAGUGACCUUGAAAGUUGAAUC